AAGACCUAAAGGAUGACAGAAAUGAGAAAAAGAGGCAGAAGAGAAAGGAGUGUUUAACAAAAUAGAUGAUGACAUCUGUUGUGAACCUCAAAACACAAGAAAGAUGACACCAACUUUCCUAAGACUGCGCCUUGAGGGGAGCACCUGAAGUAGUGCCCAAAACAGAGGAAUGAUUCAGCGUGUGGUGACUGGACUGGAUGGCACUUUCGAACCACUGGACCUGUUCCACAAUGGGGCAGUGAGUUUCCUGUCCCUCUACCUGUAAGUUGCAGAAUCUGAAACUCAAGAGUUUAAAGUAACUUGCUCCAAACCAGCCUCAGGAGUAGUUGAGAUUUAAGCCUAGAUUCUUUCCCACGGAGGCUCAUUUCUUCUCCUGUCCCAGUUUCUGUCCUUCAGGAAGAGACUACUGGAGUACUGACAUUAAAUACUUCAACACAAGGUCCAUGAGGACCAAAGCUCCAAGAGGACCCAAACCUGACAGACCU